rnacentral:rRNA from 1 species
CCCCCUACGGGGGGCAGCAGUGGGGAAUAUUGCACAAUGGGGGAAACCCUGAUGCAGCGACGCCGCGUGAGCGAAGAAGUAUUUCGGUAUGUAAAGCUCUAUCAGCAGGGAAGAAAAAAAUGACGGUACCUGAGUAAGAAGCACCGGCUAAAUACGUGCCAGCAGCCGCGGUAAUACGUAUGGUGCAAGCGUUAUCCGGAUUUACUGGGUGUAAAGGGAGCGUAGACGGCAUUGCAAGUCCGGAGUGAAAGCCCACGGCCCAACCGUGGGACUGCUCUGGAAACUGUAGAGCUGGAGUGCGGGAG